rnacentral:rRNA from 1 species
AUUGAACGCUGGCGGCAUGCCUUACACAUGCAAGUCGAACGGUAACAGGUCUUCGGAUGCUGACGAGUGGCGAACGGGUGAGUAAUACAUCGGAACGUGCCCGAUCGUGGGGGAUAACGAGGCGAAAGCUUUGCUAAUACCGCAUACGAUCUACGGAUGAAAGCAGGGGACCGCAAGGCCUUGCGCGAACGGAGCGGCCGAUGGCAGAUUAGGUAGUUGGUGGGAUAAAAGCUUACCAAGCCGACGAUCUGUAGCUGGUCUGAGAGGACGACCAGCCACACUGGGACUGAGACACGGCCCAGACUCCUACGGGAGGCAGCAGUGGGGAAUUUUGGGCAAUGGGCGAAAGCCUGAUCCAGCCAUGCCGCGUGCAGGAUGAAGGCCUUCGGGUUGUAAACUGCUUUUGUACGGAACGAAAAGACUCUGGUUAAUACCUGGGGUCCAUGACGGUACCGGAAGAAUAAGCACCGGCUAACUACGUG